AGCAGUCGCCCGGGAAUACAGAGGGUGCGAGCGUUAAUCGGAUUUACUGGGCGUAAAGCGUGCGUAGGCGGCUUUUUAAGUCGGAUGUGAAAUCCCUGAGCUUAACUUAGGAAUUGCAUUCGAUACUGGGAAGCUAGAGUAUGGGAGAGGAUGGUAGAAUUCCAGGUGUAGCGGUGAAAUGCGUAGAGAUCUGGAGGAAUACCGAUGGCGAAGGCAGCCAUCUGGCCUAAUACUGACGCUGAGGUACGAAAGCAUGGGGAGCAAACAGGAUUAGAUACCCGAGUAGUCCCUGUCUCUUAUACA
rnacentral:rRNA from 1 species